CUAUAUGUGGAAUGCUGAUUGGCUGGCUGCCAGUCCCAAUCAGGGAAGAGCAGAAGCUGAAUGGGAACUCUGGAAUGUUCUGCAUCAAAGCGGAAGGUGGUUGGAGCCGUUGAAGGAAGGAACAUCUGCAGGAAGAAGCUAAGGCGGAGAGAAGAUAAAGGACUCCAGGAGCCACCACGAAGAACUCCAGGAUGAGACACCACUCAAAAUGAGGAGAUAAGAUGGCAGCUAAGAAUAAGGUCCUGUCAACAAAAAGAGGAUGACAUAAGAUGCCAAUCCAAAUGAGCAGAUAAAAUGGUGCGAGGCCUGACAUUCACGGAACCUUCAAGAACCAGUGUGGCUUCCAGAUCCAAUGCCGCUUCCAGAUCCAAUGUGGCUUCCAGAUCCAAUGUGGCUUCCAGAUCUAAUGUGGCUUCCAGAUCCAAUGUCUCUUCCAGAUCUAAUGUGGCAUCCAGGUCAAUACUAAAACGC